UCAGGAUGAACGCUAGCGACAGGCCUAACACAUGCAAGUCUAGGGGCAGCACAAGGAGCAAUCUGAGGUGGCGACCGGCGCACGGGUGAGUAACACGUAUGCAACCUGCCUGUAAGCGGGGAAUAACCCGUUGAAAGACGGACUAAUACCGCAUAAUACUAAAUUACUGCAUGGUAAUUUAUUUAAACAUUUAUGGCUUACAGAUGGGUAUGCGCAUGAUUAGCUAGUUGGAGAGGUAACGGCUCCCCAAGGCAACGAUCAUUAGGGGUUCUGAGAGGAAGGUCCCCCCACACUGGUACUGAGACACGGACCAGACUCCUACGGGAGGCAGCAGUGAGGAAUAUUGGUCAAUGGACGAGAGUCUGAACCAGCCAAGUCGCGUGCAGGAAGAAUGUCCUAUGGAUUGUAAACUGCUUUUGCAGGGGAAUAAAGUGCAUCACGUGUGAUGUUUUGUAUGUACUCUGCGAAUAAGGAUCGGCUAACUCCGUGCCAGCCGCCGC
rnacentral:rRNA from 1 species